rnacentral:rRNA from 1 species
UACGGAGGGGGCUAGCGUUGUUCGGAAUUACUGGGCGUAAAGCGCACGUAGGCGGCUUUGUAAGUUAGAGGUGAAAGCCCGGGGCUCAACUCCGGAAUUGCCUUUAAGACUGCAUCGCUAGAGUCUCGGAGAGGAUCGUGGAAUUCUCGGUGUAGAGGUGAAAUUCGUAGAUAUCGAGAGGAACACCGGUGGCGAAGGCGGCGAUCUGGACGAUGACUGACGCUGAGACGCGAAAGCGUGGGGAGCAAACAGG